UGGGGAAUUUUCCGCAAUGGGCGAAAGCCUGACGGAGCAACGCCGCGUGAGGGAGGAAGGCCUGUGGGUUGUAAACCUCUUUUCUCUGGGAAGAAGAUCUGACGGUACCAGAGGAAUCAGCAUCGGCUAACUCCGUGCCAGCAGCCGCGGUAAGACGGAGGAUGCAAGCGUUAUCCGGAAUUAUUGGGCGUAAAGCGUCCGCAGGCGGCUCAUAAAGUCUGUUGUUAAAGCUCGGGGCUCAACUCCGAAUCGGCAAUGGAAACUAGUGGGCUAGAGUACGGUAGGGGUAGAGGGAAUUCCCAGUGUAGCGGUGAAAUGCGUAGAUAUUGGGAAGAACACCAGUGGCGAAGGCGCUCUACUGGGCCGUAACUGACGCUGAGGGACGA
rnacentral:rRNA from 1 species